CCAUGGUCUGCAUUUGGGCUCCAUCCGAGUGUCUUGCGUCUCUGGAGUUGGCCUGGCUGUUCCCCCAGCCUGACUCCUCCUCCCCGCGCCCUCUACCCUGGGGAGGAAAUAAAGGCAAGGCUCUUGCUUCUCUGCCUCGGAUUUCCUGCAAAAGCACAUGAAUUCCCAGGUAAUCUUGCUUGCAAAGAGGCUCCUGGAGAGAUGCUGGAUGUUGAGGAUGCAGCUGUCAGUGGCCUAGACCACAGAUCUACACCAGGGCCAGAGACCUGGAACUCUCCCGGGAGCCCUUCAAGUUCGCGUCAGGAUGGAGCUCCAGCAUCUCUGUCGUCCUGGUUCCUUGUGCGUGAGAAAGUCAGCCUUGCCACCAAGUCUAUGAUCAGUACGAUAACAGAUCUUCCAGAAGACUCCAAGACAAAGUCCUAAUCCUCAGGAGAGUCCCUGGGGAUGCCCCUGGUCUUGCUCAGCUGAUGUCCUAAAUCUAUGUCCUGGGCAACUGGAGGGAUGGACAGUAUAUGACAGAUGGGCGAUUGACCCCAGGCAUGUUUUCUCCAUCUGAAAGAAAAGAAUGCAUGCCUGAGGGAGAGCCAGCCCCUGAGGAAGCAGAGCAAAGAGAUGAAGAAGGAGAUGAAGAAUUAAUCACAUCCUUGGGACCUCUGGAUCCAACAGUGAUUGAUG